UAGUACGUUCCGAAUCAACUUG
rnacentral:miRNA from 1 species